UACAGAGAGUGCGAGCGUUAAUCGGAAUUACUGGGCGUAAAGCGCACGUAGGUGGAUGUUUAAGUCGGAUGUGAAAGCCCUGGGCUUAACCUAGGAAUUGCAUUCGAUACUGGGCGUCUAGAAUAUAGUAGAGGGAGGUGGAAUUUCCGGUGUAGCGGUGAAAUGCGUAGAUAUCGGAAGGAACAUCAGUGGCGAAAGCGGCCUCCUGGACUAAUAUUGACACUUAGGUGCGAAAGCGUGGGGAGCAAACAGG
rnacentral:rRNA from 1 species